rnacentral:rRNA from 1 species
CCUACGGGAGGCAGCAGUAGGGAAUAUUGCUCAAUGGGGGAAACCCUGAAGCAGCAACGCCGCGUGGAGGAUGAAGGUUUUCGGAUUGUAAACUCCUUUUGUUAGAGAAGAUAAUGACGGUAUCUAACGAAUAAGCACCGGCUAACUCCGUGCCAGCAGCCGCGGUAAUACGGAGGGUGCAAGCGUUACUCGGAAUCACUGGGCGAAAAGAGCGCUUAGGCGGGAUAGUAAGUCAGAGGUGAAAUCCUAUGGCUUAACCAUAGAACGGCAUUGAAAACGUUUAUUGUGAGGUAUGGGGGAGUAAGUUGAAAUUUUGGUGGAAGGGUAAAACGCCU